rnacentral:rRNA from 1 species
AUGGUCAGCUGGCCUGACAUCUGCAAGCUCAGGGAGCAGGGUGGAUUGGGCAUCAUGUGCUCUAAACGGAUGAAUAUUGCCCUUCUAUCCCGGUGGUUGUGGCGUAUCACGCAGGGUCAUGGUGGCCUCUGGCUGGACAUUAUCCGGAAUAAGUACCUGCGUGGUCAACCCCUUUACUUCUGCCAGAAAUCGGGAGGUUCUUAG